rnacentral:rRNA from 1 species
GACGAACCGUGCAAACGUUGUUCGGAAUCACUGGGCUUAAAGGGCGCGUAGGCGGCUGACCAAGUCCGGGGUGAAAUCUUUCGGCUCAACCGGAAAAGUGCCUUGGAUACUGGUCGGCUAGAGUGAGGUAGGGGCAUGUGGAACUUCCGGUGGAGCGGUGAAAUGCGUUGAUAUCGGAAGGAACGCCGGUGGCGAAGGCGGCUACCUGGACAGAGUCUGACGCUGAGGCACGAAAGCUAGGGGAGCAAACAGG